CUCUAAUUCUAUCAUAUACAUUAUUGUUCACGUAUUCUAUCUUUUAUAUAUAACCAAUCAAAGGUGAGGGAAUAAUUCAAGGAUACAAAUUAAUGUUCUAUUUUUACAAGACCUUGCCAUGGUUGUGCAUAUUUUAUUCUAAAUGACAUACCAACCUGAUCACUUUUCACCAUCAUUUUUCAUUAUUUAUAACCUGAUACC
rnacentral:lncRNA from 1 species